GACGGAGGAUGCAAGCGUUAUCCGGAAUGAUUGGGCGUAAAGCGUCCGCAGGUGGCAGUUCAAGUCUGCUGUCAAAGACCGGGGCUUAACUUCGGAAAGGCAGUGGAAACUGAACAGCUAGAGUAUGGUAGGGGCAGAGGGAAUUCCUGGUGUAGCGGUGAAAUGCGUAGAGAUCAGGAAGAACACCGGUGGCGAAGGCGGCUCUGGGCCGUGAACCUGAACGCUGAGGGACGAAAGCUGGGGGAGCGAACGGGAUUAGAACCCGUAC
rnacentral:rRNA from 1 species